rnacentral:lncRNA from 10 species
GUAGAGGCAGGCGCCGGGUGUGUCGCGGCAGUGCAGCGGCCGCGAAGGGGUGUUUUGCUGUAUGUCAUAUUCCUCGUUUCGCCAGAGCGGGGGUCCCGAGCUUCGGGCGCGGGACGCGGGGGUGCUCCGAGGCUGCGAGUGGAGGCGUGACGUGACGUCCCUGGCAAGAGGCGCGCGGAGUCAGGCCUUACUUAGAACGUGUUCCCGCCGCACAGCUACCAGCGGGCGCGACCGCUACCCACGCAUGGUGCGGUCGAGUAAACGGCACCGCCUGGCGAGCGAGAGACGCAAAGGGACAUAGCCCCCUAGGAGCUGAGCUCUUCGGGGGUAAAGCGUUCUCACGUUGAUGAGACCAGGAGGCGGCGCACGCCUGGCUCCGCGGCCCAGGGGUUGCAGGUGCCCCAGGGUUCGCGGGGCGCAGACGCCGCAGAGGGCGACGCCCUGCCCGGGUCCCGCGCGGACCCGGGGGACGCAGGGUCUGACACGGAGUGCGGAGGGGCCCCAGACACGCAGUCCAUGUCCCUUGAAACCAGAGGCACGCGCGGCCACGCGCUAGGCCUUUCCCUUAAGCCUGUGACCAAGAUCUCCGGGACUCCCAGCGUUGGGACGGGCGCGCUGGCCCACGCCCAAGCGGGAGGAUCGCUUGCGCCCAGGAGAUUGAGACCAGCCUGAGCACCAAAGCGAGACCUCGUCUCUACAAAAAAUAAGACUCAAGAAGACACCCAGGGUGAAUCGCCCGUCUGCAGCCAGCCUCCCGAGCACCGUGGCCGCGUCUGACAACUGACCUCUGUGUCUGGGUGUCCCUGUCCUCAGAGGGACACGGGACCUCAGAAAGGACCACAGCCCGGCGGCAGGCAUGAUGGUGGGAAAGCUAGUUAGGACAGAAUACACAAAAGAAUUUCUCAAAAAACAGUAAACGAACAGCAACCCGAUAGAAAAACGAGGAAAGAAUAUGAAUAAGCAGCUCCAGAAGAGGAAAUUCAGGUGGCCGGUAAACACAUGAAAAAGAUGCUCAUCUUCACUGGUCACCAGGAAAAUGUGUGAAUAAACAAACUGGCACAUCCACACUGCGGAACACGGCUCAACCCCCAGGAGGACCCGGCGCGGAGCCCGGCUCAACCCUGAAGAGGAUUUCACUACUGACACACACGACAUCACAGGUGACUCUGGGAGCAAUCAGGUUCAGUGAGAGAAGCCGGACAAAAAAGAGUGCGUACCUUAUGACUCCACUUACAUAAAAUCCUAGAAAAUACAAACACCAGGCAGGCGCGGUGGCUCACCGCUGUAAUCCCCGCACUUCGGGAGGCCGAGGCAGGCACAUCACUUGAAGUCAGGAAUAUGAGACCCGCCUGGCCAACAUGGCAAAACCCCAUCUCUACUAAAAAUACAAAAAUUACCCUGGCGUGGUGGCACACGCCUGUAGUCCCAGCUACUCGGGAGGCUGAGGCAACCUGGGAGGCAGAGAUUUCAGUGAGCUGAGAUCACACCACGGCACUCCAGCCUGGGUGACAGAGACUCCAUCUCAAAAAAUAAAAAUAAAAAACAUAAAUAGCAACAGAGAGCAAAUCAGCAGUCGCUUGGGAAAUAAGGGGUAGGGAUGGGUGAGAGGGAGGGAUUACCAGGUACACGUGCAGCCUGGAUAGUGCUGAGGGCUUCACGACGUAGACGCAUCAGCCUCAUCAAAUUACACACUCUACCUAUGUGCGGUUUGCCUUGUGUCAACUGUGUAUCCAUAAAGCUAUCAACAAAAACUGCCUGCAAACUAUUUUUAACUGACAACUUUUUUUUUUUUUUGGGAUGGAGUCUCGCUCUGUUGCCCAGGCUGGAGUGCACUGGCGCGAUCUUGGCUCACUGCAACCUACGCCUCCUGGGUUCAAGCGAUCCUCCUGCCUCAGCCUCCUGAGUAGCUGGGACUACAGGUGUCCACCACCACGCCCGACUAAUUUUUGUAUUGUUAGUAGAGAUGGAGUUUCACCAUGUUGGUCAGGCUGGUCGCGAACUCCUGACCUCAAGUGAUCCACCGCCUUGGCCUCCAAAAGUGCUGGAAUUAUAGGUAUGAGCCACUGCACCUGGCCAGACAACUGU